rnacentral:rRNA from 1 species
GACGAACGCUGACGGCGUGCCUAAUACGUGCAAGUCGAGCGGACAGAAGGGAGCUUGCUCCCGGAAGUUAGCGGCGGACGGGUGAGUAACACGUGGGCAACCUACCCUGUAGAUCGGGAUAACAUCGAGAAAUCGGUGCUAAUACCGGAUAAUCAUUUGAAGUGCAUGCUUCGAAUGUAAAAGAUGGCUCCGGCUAUCACUACGGGAUGGGCCCGCGGCGCAUUAGCUAGUUGGUAAGGUAAUGGCUUACCAAGGCAACGAUGCGUAGCCGACCUGAGAGGGUGAUCGGCCACACUGGGACUGAGACACGGCCCAGACUCCUACGGGAGGCAGCAGUAGGGAAUCUUCCGCAAUGGACGAAAGUCUGACGGAGCAACGCCGCGUGAGUGAUGAAGGUUUUCGGAUCGUAAAGCUCUGUUGUUAGGGAAGAACAAGUGCCGUUUGAAUAAGGCGGCACCUUGACGGUACCUAACCAGAAAGCCACGGCUAACUACGUGCCAGCCGCCGCGGUAAUAC